UCUGGGGAUUAAAUACCCUGUUAUUAAAAUGUAAAGGUUUAUACUAGAGUAGUAAUAGAUAUGUUCUAAAAACUUAAUAAAUUUGGCGGUGUUUUAUUCUAUUCAGAGGAAUUUGUUUUAUAAUCGAUAAUCCUCGUUAAAUCUUACUUAAUUUAAUUAAAUUUGUAUAUCGUCGUCAUAAGAAUAUCUUAAAAGGGAAAUAAUUUUCUAAAAUUAAUAUUAUUAAUUAUGUCAGAUCAAGGUGCAGUUUAUAAUUAAGAAAAAAUGAAUUACAAUAAGUUUAUUUAUACGAAUUUAAAUUUUAAAAAAUUUAUUAAAGGUGGAUUUGAAAGUAAAAUAUAAAAAUAAUAAAUUAAUUUGAUUUUAGAUCUAAAAUGUGCACAAAUCGCCC
rnacentral:rRNA from 1 species